rnacentral:lncRNA from 1 species
UGCUGAAUCUACUCUAUCGUCUUAUGCACUAUCUCAGUGCUACCCAUCACUCGUUGCCCUACCUCUUGUAACAGCCUGGAAUCUCAGGUAUUGUUAAAUUAUGUUUUUGGGGUGAUUUAAGAGGGGACUCGACGAGUUGGAGCCUAGACUCGCCGAGUAGGAUCGCAGACUUGGUCGCGGGAUCGCGACUGGACUCGACGAGUCCAGAUAUGGACUCGGUGAGUCUACGCUGUUUAGCGAAAACCCUAACCGUUCAGGUUUGGGACGUAUAAAAAGGACUCAUUGGCCGUCAUUGUUCAUUUUAGCCUUCUGAGAAGAACCCUAAAUCGAUUGUGUGCAUCUGGAGCAAGGAUUAUAGGCCAUUGUUGAUUAUACAAGAGUGGUUGUGCAAGGAAGAGAAGGGAUUGGCUAAAGGAACAACAAGGGAGUCACAUUCUGAGGAUUGGGGACACAAAGAAUACAUCAUCCAGGUAAGAAUUUGAGUAUACUCUGCUAUGUUGAUGUGAUUAUGGAAUUAGGGUUUAUGGAACCCUUUUGUGAAUAGAUUCAAUGUUACCCUAGUCCCCUAAUCGAUUGUAACCCUGUAUUGGGACCUUUGGAGGUCCAUAAUGUCCCAUGUCUGUGCAUUUCGGGAAUUGAUGAAGGUUUUGGAUUGGAAUCCUUAUGCCUUAGAUCAAAAUGUAAAUUAUGAAUCAUAAGGUGUAUCAUGAGCACUGAAAUGAGGACUUUACGUGAUGGAUCAGCCUAGGAAGGCCAGACCUAGGAAUGGUCGGAGCAGUUCUGACCUUAUGAUGCAGUUUGAGCAGUUGCAUGGCAUGGACUCGCCGAGUUCGACGAACAGACUCGGCGAGUAGCUUGAAGAUUAACUGGGACUCGUCGAGUUGUUCUUCAGACUCGGCGAGUUGAGUCGGGGUGGCCCCGCGAUUCUUCCAGGAGUAACUCGUCGGGUCAAGGAGGAUACUCGACGAGUAGAUAGGGAAUCUCAGAGAGUUGGAGGACGUCUAGACUCGCCGAGUCGCCAUGGCACUCGCCGAGUCCGGUCGAGUUGACCGUUGACCGUUGACCGUUGACCAGAGUUGACCUAAGUCUGACUUCUUAGGGAUAGUCACACUUAGAAGAUAUAAGUGUUAAUGAGAGAUAUGUGAUGUUAUAGGGAGGUUGUAGCUCGACGGAUUGUGCACGAGUGAUUUCAGGAUUUGCUAGCUUUCAGCAUUCACGAGGUGAGUCUUCUCACUAUACUGUACCCGGAAGGGUUUGACUGUGUGACCGGAAGGUCAGAUAUGAUAUGUGAUAUGUAUGCUAUAUGUGGUAAGUUGUUUGUUAUAUGUGCUAUGUAUGUUAUGGGCCGGAAGGCGAUUAUAUUAUGGGCCGGAAGGCAAUAUGUUAUGGGCCGGAAGGCGAUAUGUUGUGUGAUGGACCGGAAGGUCGGCGUGGGUAGGACCGGAAGGUUUACCCAGCAGGGACGGAAGUCCCCUGAGACACAUGGACCGGAAGGUCAGGGCCUGGAAAGGCGUAUGUGCGUAAGUUGUAUAUUGGGGAACUCACUAAGCAUUUAUGCUUACAGUUGUUAUGUAUGUGUUUCAGGUACUAGCGAGGACCGUGGGAAGGCGCCGGCGUGAUCGAUACACACUGAAGGAUGUUUUUAUGAUCUUGGGAUUUAGACAAUUUGUAUUUGACAUGACACUUAAAUUAUUUAUGCCUUGUUUUGAAUGGAAAUACUUUAUUUUUAAAAUGAAAAAUUUGUUUGAAAAUUUGCGUUGUUACAAUUGGUAUCAGAGCCUUGGUUUGAGGGAUUCGGGUGCACCUUCGGGAGUAACUGAACUCAAACCGAGGAUUUGAGGAAAACUUUUUAAAUAAAGGCAUAAACUUUUGUAAAUGGUUUUGUGGUAAGCAAGAAAGAAGCAGUGUGUACGAUCAGUCAGCGCCCGAACGGUAAAGAUCCCCAAAAUACCUUACAAUAUUAUAUGAUAUGAAUUGUUAUGCAUGCUAGAAGACUAGGUAUUCAUGAUAGGACUAGAGUGGCCUGAUUUGUGAUGCCUUAGUCUAGGGAAGUUUGCCGAUAUGAGAUGCUUUGCUAGUGUGCGGGUAGAUAGUGCAUAACAGAAGUAGAGUACUCACUAUCCGGGGUUUGGGGAGGAAGAUUUGGGAUGAAUGCUGAUGCGGUGUGGUCGGUAGUAUUGGGCCCGUACUACCGAAGACACCGGGUCAGUGGGAGACCCAAGUAAGAAUCCCUGGAUAUCGGAGACUGAGUAGGGUUGCGUUAUCGAGUGCGAUUAUACUCGAUGGAGUCUCUGAUAGUUUUAUGUUGUAUUUCAGAGACAUCAUGGUUAGACCACGCCACGGAGCGAGUUCGAGCGGUGUGAGUGACGAGGAGAUUCGUCAGAUGAUUCACGAGGAGGUAGCUGCGGCGAUCCGGGCUGAGAUCCCGGAGAUGUUUGGGUCUAUUAAGACCACCCUGAUGGAGACGUUUGAUGAGCGGUACGCCGCAUUGACUGAGGCUGCAACCGCUGCAGCUACCGCAGCUGUGGCCGCUGCUAGGCCACAGGGGGGUGACUCGUUGCUGUUCCGAGAGUUCAGCAACACGAAGCCACCAGAGUUCGAUGGGACGCAGGAUCCGAUUGCUGCGAUGAGGUGGAUCGCGGAUAUAGAGGGGUGCUUCUACACUUGUUCAUGCCCGGAGCACCUGAGGGUACGGUUCGCUUUGAACCAGCUCCGUCUGGGAGCGAAGGAUUGGUGGAAGUUCGUGACGGCGAACUUCACUUUGGCAGAGAUUACAGCAGUGACAUGGGAGGGGUUUACUGCUAUGUUCAGGGACGAGUACGUUCCCCCGGUGGAGAGGGAACGAUUGGUUCAGGAGUUCUUAACCCUCAAGCAGGGUACUGAUUCUGUUGCGGUGAUCACGCGGAAGUUUCAUGAGAGGGCGAUGUUCUGCCCCGAGCUGGUGUCCACUGAUCAGGCUCGGAUGAGCCGGUACUUGGGAGUGUUGAGGAGGGAUAUCCGGGAGUUUGUGUCAAACUCCACUUACCAUACUUUUGCUGAGCUUCAGGCGAAUGCCAGGAAGCGCGAGAUCGAGUUGGAGACCCAGGCCAGGGAGGAGGCCGAGUCUCAGCGGGUGGACCGGCGACCGGCUCAGUUCCAGCCGGCAGCCAAGCGGAUAAAGUCCGCCGAUUCGAGGACAGGAGGUUCGAAGGGCCGCACUUGCGGAAAGUGCGGCAAGGGUCAUGAUGGGGCAUGUCGAUCUGGUGCUUGCUACAAGUGUGGCAAGGAGGGGCACAUUGCUAGGGAGUGCCCCAAGGGGUUUACGGUUUGCUUUCAUUGCAACCAGACAGGCCAUCGGAAGGCCGAGUGCCCUCAGCUUCUUCAGGGAUCUGCACCUGCUGCCAGAGCUACUGCGACUCGACCGGUGAAGGCCGAGGCCCCGAGGGCUCGGGGAAGAGCCUUUCAGCUGACUGCGGAGGAGGUCCGCGCUGCGCCCGAUGUUGUGGCAGGUAUGCUGUAAUUCAUGUAUUUAUUUUAAUGUCGAGAUGUUAUGCUUAUGUUAUUAUAUGCGUAGGUACUUUCCUUGUGAACUCUGUGCCUGCCUUAGUGUUAUUUGACUCGGGUGCGAGUAGGUCCUUUGUAUCUUUAGCCUUUAGUCAGCAUAUCAGCGUUAGUCGUGAGUCGUUGAGUCGACCUUUGAGAGUUUCUAUAGCUGACGAGAAAGUGAUUUGUGCCACGGAGGUUCUUCGGGGAUGUGUACUAGAGAUUUUCGGGGUUGAAUUCCCGAUUGACCUGAUUCCUAUUGCGAUGGGUGAUGUCUGUGUCAUCGUGGGCAUGGACUGGUUGAGCCGAUUCGGCGCUGUCAUCGACUGUGAGCGUCAGUUGGUGACUAUACGAGACCAUAGUGGGGGAGUUCUUUCGGUGUACGGCGAGGGUACCCGUUCGGGAUCAGCUUUUUGUUCGGCCGCUAGGGCGAGGCAGUGUCUACAGCAGGGCUGUAAGGGUUUUGUGGCGUAUGUGAUGGAUACGCGGGAGGUUUCCGAGAGACCGAAGUCAGUUGAGGAGGUCCCUGUGGUGCGUGAGUUUCCAGAUGUUUUCCCCGAGGAGCUGCCGGGAGUACCUCCUGUGAGGCAAGUAGAGUUUGGUAUCGAUCUGGUUCCGGGGGCCGCGCCUAUUGCUAAGGUGCCUUAUCGUCUUGCACCUCCAGAGAUGCAAGAGUUGUCCUCGCAGCUCCAGGAGUUGCUGGGGAAGGGAUUCAUUCGGCCGAGCAGCUCGCCGUGGGGAGCACCUAUUCUGUUCGUCAAGAAGAAGGAUGGUUCACACCGGAUGUGCAUUGAUUACCGGGAGUUGAACAAGUUGACGGUCAAGAACCGUUACCCGUUACCGAGGAUCGAUGAUUUAUUCGAUCAGUUGCAGGGAGCAUCUUGGUUUUCCAAGAUCGAUCUGAGGUCAGGGUACCAUCAGGUGAGAGUGCGGGAUGAGGACGUCCAGAAGACAGCGUUUAGGACGCGAUAUGGGCAUUAUGAGUUUGUGGUGAUGCCUUUCGGGCUCACCAAUGCCCCGGCUGUGUUCAUGGAUCUCAUGAACAGGGUAUGCAGGCCGAUGUUGGAUCGGUCAGUGAUUGUAUUUAUCGACGACAUUCUAGUGUAUUCGAGAUCUAGAGAGCAGCAUGAGGAGCAUUUGAGGGAGGUCCUUGAGGUAUUGAGGUCGGAGAAGCUUUAUGCAAAGUUCUCCAAAUGUGACUUCUGGUUGCGGGAGGUCCAAUUUCUAGGACAUGUUGUUAAUCAGAAAGGGAUAUUGGUCGAUCCGGCCAAGGUUGAGGCGGUGAUGAGUUGGGAGGUGCCGAAGUCACCCUCUGAGAUCAGGAGCUUCCUUGGGUUGGCAGGGUAUUAUCGGAGAUUCAUUAAGGAUUUCUCCAAGAUCGCAGUGCCGCUCACCAGAUUGACCCGGAAGGGUGUUGCAUUCUCAUGGGGGCCCGAGCAGCAGACCUCCUUUGAGACACUUCGCCAGAGGUUGUGCGAAGCCCCGGUAUUAGCUCUCCCGGAAGGGAUGGAAGAUUUUGUAGUAUAUUGCGACGCAUCGAUUUCGGGACUGGGUGCAGUGUUGAUGCAGAGGGGUCAUGUGAUAGCUUAUGCGUCGAGGCAGCUGAAGCCUCAUGAGGCGAGAUAUCCCACGCAUGAUUUAGAGUUGGGGGCAGUAGUGUUCGCUCUCAAGAUUUGGCGUCACUACUUGUAUGGGGUUCGAUGUACGAUAUACACGGACCAUAAGAGCUUGAAGUAUUUGAUGGAUCAGCCCAACCUAAAUAUGCGUCAGAGGAGGUGGUUGGAUGUGGUCAAGGAUUAUGAUUGUGAGAUCCUGUACCACCCAGGCAAGGCUAAUGUGGUAGCCGAUGCAUUGAGCCGCAGGGCGGAGAGCACUCCAUUGCGAGAUGUAUGCUUGAGACUGACUGUGAUGACUCCAGUAUUGGAUGCUAUUCGUGGGGCACAGGCCGAGGCUGUGCGACCAGAGAUGCAGAAGAAAGAGCGGGUCGUUGGGUUAAUUUCAGAGUUCGUUAAGGAUGGACGAGGGCUUCUGACGUUUCAGGGUCGGAUUUGGGUACCGUUCGUGGGCGGUACGCGUAUUACUUUGAUGGAAGAGGCUCAUAGAUCGAAAUUCUCGAUCCAUCCCGGUGCUACGAAGAUGUAUUUGGAUUUGAGGAAAGAGUAUUGGUGGCCCUGUAUGAAGAGGGACGUCGCAUGGUUCGUUGAGAGGUGCUUGACCUGUCGUAGGGUUAAGGCCGAGCACCAGAGACCGCAUGGCAAGUUACAGCCAUUGGAGAUCCCCGAGUGGAAGUGGGAACAGAUCACUAUGGAUUUCAUCACCAAAUUGCCGAGGACUGCCAGGGGAGUUGAUGCAAUUUGGGUGAUUGUGGAUAGGUUGACGAAGAGUGCACACUUCCUUGCCAUCAGUGAGAGUUCUUCAGCGGAGAAGUUGGCGGAGAUAUAUGUGAGAGAAGUGGUAUCUCGGCAUGGGGUGCCGAUCUCGAUUGUUUCAGACCGUGAUGUGCGCUUCACUUCCAGGUUCUGGAAGAAAUUCCAUGAGGAGCUGGGUACUAAAUUGCAUUUUAGUACCGCAUACCAUCCCCAGACAGACGGUCAGAGCGAGCGGACGAUUCAGACGCUGGAGGACAUGCUUCGAGCGUGUGUGUUAGACUUCGGGGGUAGCUGGGAUGCGUAUUUACCCUUAGCAGAGUUUUCCUACAACAACAGCCAUCAUUCGAGCAUUGGUAUGCCACCUUUUGAGCUGUUGUAUGGUAGGAGGUGUCGGACCCCCAUUUGCUGGGGAGAGGUGGGACAGAGAGUGAUGGGCAGCACAGAGAUCGUGCUUCAGACGACAGAGCAGAUUCAGCAAGUUAGACAGAGGUUAUUGACCGCCCAGAGCCGACAGAAGAGUUAUGCAGACAGGCGCCGAUCCGAGCUUGAGUUUCAAGUCGGCGACUUCGUUCUCCUGAAGGUCUCUCCUUGGAAAGGAGUGAUUCGAUUCAGGAAGAGGGGCAAGUUGGGGCCCCGGUAUAUUGGGCCAUUUCGUGUGAUUGCAAGGAUAGGCCGGGUAGCCUAUCGGUUGGAGUUGCCAGCGGAGUUGGGUCAGAUCCACGACACUUUUCAUGUGUCGCAAUUGAGGAAGUGCAUAGCCGAUGAGUCGGCAGUGGUUCCAUUGGAGGAUAUUCAGGUGGAUGCGAGCCUGAAUUAUGCUGAGAGACCAGUGGCCAUCAGGGAUCGGAAGAUCAAGGUUCUGAGGAACAAGGAGGUACCUCUGGUGUUGGUUCAGUGGCAACACCGGAAGGGAUCGGAAAUGACUUGGGAGCCGGAACGUGAGAUGCGGGAGCAGCAUCCGGAACUAUUUUCAGAGUGAGACUUCGAGGGCGAAGUCUAAUCCUAGUGGGGGAGAGUUGUAACAGCCCGGAAUCUCAGGUAUUGUUAAAUUAUGUUUUUGGGGUGAUUUAAGAGGGGACUCGGCGAGUUGGAGCCUAGACUCGCCGAGUAGGAUCGCAGACUUGGUCGCGGGUUCGCGACUGGACUCGACGAGUCCAGAUAUGGACUCGGCGAGUCUACGCUGUUUAGCGAAAACCCUAACCGUUCAGGUUUGGGACGUAUAAAAGGGACUCAUUGGCCGUCAUUGUUCAUUUUAGCCUUCUGAGAAGAACCCUAAAUCGAUUGUGUGCAUCUGGAGCAAGGAUUAUAGGCCAUUGUUGAUUAUAGAAGAGUGGUUGUGCAAGGAAGAGAAGGGAUUGGCUAAAGGAGCAGCAAGGGAGUCACAUUCUGAGGAUUGGGGACACAGAGAAUACAUCAUCCAGGUAAGAAUUCGAGUAUACUCUGCUAUGUUGAUGUGAUUAUGGAAUUAGGGUUUAUG